rnacentral:rRNA from 1 species
UACGUAGGGGGCAAGCGUUGUCCGGAUUUAUUGGGCGUAAAGAGCUUGUAGGCGGUUUGUCGCGUCUGCUGUGAAAAUCCGGGGCUCAACCCCGGACUUGCAGUGGGUACGGGCAGACUAGAGUGUGGUAGGGGAGACUGGAAUUCCUGGUGUAGCGGUGAAAUGCGCAGAUAUCAGGAGGAACACCGAUGGCGAAGGCAGGUCUCUGGGCCACUACUGACGCUGAGAAGCGAAAGCAUGGGGAGCGAACAGG